GAUGAAGAACGUAGCGAAAUGCGAUAAGUAGUGUGAAUUGCAGCAUUCAGUGAAUCAUCGAAUCUUUGAACGCACAUUGCGCCCCUUGGUAUCCCGAGGGGCAUGCCUGUUCGAGCGUCAUUUCACCACUCAAGCCUGGCUUGGUGUUGGGCGACGUCCUCUUUGGGGACGCGCCUCGAAACGCUCGGCGGCGUGGCACCGGCUUUAAGCGUAGCAGAAUCUUUCGCUUUGGAAGUCGGGGCCCCGUCUGCCGGAAGACCUGCUCGCAAGGUUGACCUCGGAUCAGGCAGGGAUACCCGCUGAACUUAAGCAUAUCAAUAAGCGGAGGA
rnacentral:misc_RNA from 1 species